GUGGAUUAUGACGUCAUUUGAUUGAUGACGAAACCAUUCAUAUUUCCCUUACAACCAAACAAAGGAGAGGCAGUGUAAAUGAAUUAAACAGAAUGGAUUACAGCAUCAUACUGGAUUUUGGAGACGAGCCAGUCAGGACCGUGGAUGAAAAACUGGACAUCCUUAGAUUUGAUUAUAGCUGGGCAGAGGCUGUUGAGGCGGCAGAGGAGGAAGAGGAGAG